UUGUUCCUAGGUGCACAACUGCGUUCAGAAUAUCCGAAAACUAUCCUAAUAAUGGUAAAAUAUUCCAUUUAUACUAGGCUGGAAAAACUAGACAAAAAUGCCCCUGCGGGAACAGAGCGGACCGCGCAAAAAGAAACCCCGUCUGCGCUGGCUCUUGGACUGAUGAUUUCAGCUUCUUUAUAGUUGAGGACUGCAGACCACGUAAAACGAGCUACGUAAAAUAGACCGCGAAUCACGUGGCUUUGAUUUGUUGUUAUGACAGCUCUCUGAAUCUCCUUCGCGCAGACCGCGUAAAAGGGCAGUUCGGCCGCAGAGUUCUAUAGGCGGACGGCGUGAAUCUGACACUGGCCGCGUAGCUUAAGUCCUGUACAUACCAUCUCUAUGAACUUUCUAGUGUGGUCGUGGUCAUUGUUGUGCGGUCCGCACUAGGCUCUAUUUCCUUCAAUUUUCUUAGUCUUUGAUGCUUGAGCCGGUUUCACUCCGUUUUGAGUUGAUCUUUGAUAUUUGUCACUUUGUCGCUCAAACCUGCAAUCAAGCACAACUUGUAAGCAUUUUGGGACUAUUUUGUAACAAUUUGUAACCAAAGCAAUAGCAAGUAGGGGAAUAAACAUGGUAUAAUCCUAAUUUUUCAGUUGUGCCUACUAACUGAACAAAAAAUUUAAAAAUUAUCAAAGGUGGUUGUUCUUACAAAAUAGCCUUCCGACGCCCCUUUGGGGAAAUUCGGCUUAUUUUAAACAAGAAUGGCACCACCCUACUUAUUUGCGAUAAAAAAUAAAAUUUUUGGUCUGUUUAGGCUAUUUUUGCAAAAAGGGAAGUUGGACCCAAUGGCAGUUACCUACAUAUCCCACAUCUGGUGGGAAUCAAAGAUCUUCUUUUUUCACUUUUGUUUUUAAAAAUCCGGCAAAGUUUCAGUACCUCUUGGACAUUGGUUUUCAAAAUCGGGUAAUUAUCUUAGAUCUGACACUGCUAUUUUCUUUUCCCAAUUUUAUAUUAUUUAUAAGCCGGUCAACAUGCAAAUCCGGAGCAAAUAAGUGCACAAGUAGCAAGAAGGAUGCAUCAGGAUGGUCUUUUCAUUUUAGGUACACUUGCCCGAGACAGACCUAACCCCUGUCUUGAGUAUCCUAAGUCAAAUGCACGUGAUACAAAGUUCCUACUAGGGAUCUGGUAUGAGAUUUUGUUACACUAGAUUAAAACUUGGGUUUAUUGUUCUAGACCUGGCUUACCCGAGCGCACAGCUCGAGCCAGAGGGGGGAGGGGUGGCGUACCGAAAAUACAGAAGCUUCACCGGCUUUGCAGCUUGUCUUAACCUCGUUCUAAAUUUUGGGAUAAGACUCUAACAAAAAAUAAGUUACAUAAAGUGCACACUUCCUAGAUGAUUUAGAAGACUCAGAAAUAAGAAGAGUUUCAUAGCAGUUUAUAUACAGUUCAUAAAUAUCAAAGCAUUAAAAGAAUUUAGCACAUUAUGCUCAAAUAUGUAGAAAAAUCAUAUAAUAGAUAAAUCCAAUCAUAACAUCUAUUCUAAGCUCGAAUUCUUCAACCCUGAACCGAAAUUCUGGGUUUGGAUCCCCAGCAGAGUCGCCAGAGCUGUCAUACCUCCUUUUUUUCACUACACCACUCUUGAAGGGUAGUGUAUAAGGGAGUUUUUCGAUUUAAGUGACAUUAUCCGAAAUAAAAUUAUUUAUUUAUUUUGGUUCAGAGUCGCCACUUGGGAUAGGUCUGUUUUCUGGUGUCCCAAGUCACCGGUUAAUUUUAAAUCCCAAAUCGAGGAAGAUUUGACUUUCUUAAUGAAGUCUGAAAACUAGAAAUUCUAAAUAAAGAAUUAUGUUAACCCGAGAUAAGGUAUUAGGCACCCCUAGAUUCUGUGGUUCUAGCACAGUCGUUUAAACUGUUAUAAUUGGCCUAUUAUAUUAUUUUAAUAUAUGUUUUAGCUUAUAGUAAUUUUUUACUUAUUAGCCGUUUUUGAUUAAUUCAAAGAAGAUUUCAACAUCAUAUAAAAUACGUCUUUGGACCACGCCACAUAAAAUGCACUUGCAGUCUAAGACAAAUUUCAUUUAAUGAUGUGAGAUUUGGAUUUGGGUCACAAGAAAUAUGCACCCGAGUUUAGAAAAGUAAAUUAUUAAAAUAACGCGCCUAAAGCAACUGCACGUUUUUAAAUUUGCGAGGGCCACAGAAAAUUUUCUAAAUGGUGUGCCUCGAUUUCUAGUAUUAAAAACAUCAAUUAGAUGAGGGCCAUGCAUCUUGAGAUUUUAUUUGAUACGGCGCGCCUCAGUUACUUGAAGUAACUUAAAUAACCAAAUAUUAAUGGAACAGGGAUUCCACUACUAACCAAACUAACUCAAAAAAAUUGCCUUUUAACAGAAAGGGCUAAUCAUUUAAAGAUGUUGUUUGGGCCUAGCGUGAGGCCCAGUGGUCUACAAAUACGGAAAGCCACCCGAAAAUGUCAAUUGCAUGAUAAAAUUACGUUGGGCCCAAAACGGAGCCCAAAUUGGAAAACGGCCCAGCUCUAGUAGACUUGAGACUCGAGAUCGAGUCUUCACUGGCACACGACAUGAGACACUCGAAUCCAAAAUUGCAAGUCAUACUGUUGCACAAAAAUUAAAGCAAUAUUGUUCAUAUUUUACGCAAGAACCAUGGCAUAUCCUAUACUAAUUAAUCCCUUAUUCAGAAUAUGCAACAAUUCCCCCUUUGGUUACCUAGCAUGCAUUUCCAUCAUCCCUUUUAAACAACAUGCAUAACCCCAAGAGUAACGGGAAAUUUUAUUCCAAGGCCUAAGAUUAGAAAACUAAUCAAACAGUGGACGGAUUCCAAUUGGGAUAACAUAUGAUUUGAAACAAUAUGCAUGCCAAUACCCUUAAGAGUCUCUUUCAUUCACAAUAAAACUUACACCGAUGAGGACUAAGCAACUAAACCACAAGUUGUUCAAUAUUACAAACUAAGAUUAAACUAAAUCAAAGAGGAAGAGACAUGUCCAAUGCUAACCAGUCUAAACCAAAUAGUACAUGAUGUGCAUGAAAUUAAGAAGGAGAAAUAAGGCUUAAAAUAACAUACAACAUCAUUGUUAUCACAUUUUUCUUCAGACUUAAGCUUCAAAUUACAUUCAAGUGAUAUCCAUAGUGCUUGAAAAAUACAUGGAAAUGAAAAGAGAAACAAGAGAAGUGCAGAAAUCAGUAGGUAGCAAGCAAUAGGAUAGCAAUAAACCAGUGCUCGAGAUCAGCCAAAACCCAGAAAUUUGAACUGAAAUGGGACUCUAUACAAAAUCAACUCAAAUCCAACUUAUCCCAAAGUUGUACCAUCUUCAAACCAAAUGCUAAAUCAGAUGUUUUCAAAGAUUGUAACUAAUAAAGAGGGUCAUAAUUUUCCUCGAAGCUUUAGAUUCUGACUAAUAGCCAAGACUAAAGAGCAAAACAAGACCAAUUUUGGCCAAAAGAUUGCAGGAUUUUUUUUGUAUUUUUCAGAGUAUCAAUCCCUGAUUAUUAAAUGGAAGAAGGGUCUAUAUAUAGCCCUCUUUGGGUGCCAUGUGCUGCAGAAACAGAAUGUGAAUUAUUACCUCAUGAAGCAUCUAUUUUUCAACGGAAUUGGGACAACUGGCAGCCUGUAAUUGGCUCCAGCAACUUGUGCUAACCAAAUAAGGCCAGCUGCCCCUAUUCUAGAAGUUUCCCCAACAAAAUCUUAUUUUCUUACUCUCAAAAUAACCUUCCAAGUUUCUAUUAUUCAACUAAU
rnacentral:lncRNA from 1 species